CCAGCGCCUCCCACUCUCUCUCAUUUGGCCUCAUCUCUAUUCUCUUCAUAAACACAAACGAAAUCGAAGAUCUAUCGAAAAAAUCAAUCAAUAACAUCAGCUCUUCUCUAUUCUCUUCAUCAACACCAGCUGAAACGAAGAUUCAUCAGCUCUUCUCGAUGCUCAUCAUUAACAAAAUCCAUCAGCAGAUCAGUUCUUGAGGAUUUGUUGUGAAUCGAUGAAGAACAGUCAAUGAGGAGCACCAACAAUAUUCGAGAGUAAUUGUGUGUUGUCUAAAGCAAUUAGUAAUUGUACCGAAACUCAAGAUUAUACCUCUUCGUUGGUAUGUUGUUGUUGUCAAUUCCAGAAAUUUGUAUGAAUGUGUGUGUAUACUUAGCUCAGCAAUGGAUUUACUUAUAAUGGUAUAGAAGUUGAUUAAUAUAAAUACCAAACCUGCAGUUUGAGAUAACACUAUUAUCUGCUCAUACAGCUGAUGGAAUCGUUGCUUGGCGAGGUUAGGGAGGAGUUCGAACAUCGCUUGGCGACCCAGAAUGAACCGAUAAGCUUAUCUUCGCUUUGUUAGUAAUAAAGAAACAAGAGAUUUCUAGUAAUAAAGAAACAUAAGUAUUGUGGAUUGUUUGGCAGGUGGUGGUGGUGGAUACCAAGGAGGAGGAGAUCAGGGAGGGUGUCUUGGUGAUGGAUAUCAAGGUGGGGGAGAUAAAAAAAGAAACAAGAUUUUUCUUAGUAACAAAGUAACAUGUUUGGCAUGUGGUGGUGGUGGAUACCAAGGAGGAGGAGAUUGGGAAGGGUGUCUUGGUGGGGGAGAUCAUGGAGGUAGUGGUAGCGGAAGAGAUGGUGAUUUGAUGUGCCCUAAUUCAAGUAAUUUACAUUAGGUAUUUUUCCAUGUACUCAACACGGAGGAUAUGGAAGAUUUGGCGGAUAUACCUGCCAUUUGAUCAAGAUCCAUUGAUAGUUUGUUUCUAAAUCAUCCUGAUUUUGUGCAUUAAAUGGAUGACAUCUGCUGAAUCAUCCAGAACGACACUUAUGUCUUAUUUAAAAGAGGCUCUCCAGAGGCAGGUUACUGUUUUAUUUUUGUAUCUCUUUCCCCCACCCUCACCAGCAACACAAAAAACAAAUAUUUCUUUUUUGUAUCAAUAUUUUAUAUUCAUUUACUUUUACUAUUUA